UAAUAGAUGGGAUACACUUAUCUGCCGC
rnacentral:sRNA from 1 species